CGGAGCCGGGCGGGCGCCAUGGAGGGGCUGCGGCGGGGGCUGUCGCGCUGGAAGCGCUACCACAUCAAGGUGCACCUGGCGGACGAGGCGCUGCUGCUACCGCUGACCGUGCGGCCGCGGGACACGCUCAGCGACCUGCGCGCCCAGCUGGUGGGCCAGGGCGUGAGCUCCUGGAAGCGCGCCUUCUACUACAACGCGCGGCGGCUGGACGACCACCAGACGGUGCGCGACGCGCGCCUGCAGGACGGCUCGGUGCUGCUGCUCGUCAGCGACCCCAGCGAGGCGCAGCGGCUCACACCCGCAAUCCCAGCACUUUGGGAGGCUGAGGCAAGCAGAUCACUUGAGUCCAGGAGUUCAAGACCAGCCUGGCCAACAUGGUGAAACCCCAUCUCUACUAAAACUACAAAAAUUAGCCGGGCAUGAUGGCGCAUGCCUGUAAUCCCAGCUACUGGGGAGGCUGAGGCAAGAGAAUCGCUUGAGUCUGGGAGGCGGAGGUUGCAGUGAGCUGAGAUCGUGCCAUUACACUCUAGUCUGGGUGACAGGGUGAAACUCCGUCUCUAAAGAAAUAAAUAAUAAAAUUUUAUUUCACGC
rnacentral:lncRNA from 1 species